GAAGCCAGGGCAGACUUUGCUCCCAGAGGCCUUGCAGUUUACUGGGUAAAGCGACUAGUCUGGUGGCUGGAGCAGCGCAGCACUUGAGAGACACCCUGGGAAACAGGAAACACUUCUUACAAGAAGAGAUGGGGUCGAAGGCGGUGUCUACCAGGAACCCUCCCUACACAGGUGUAGGCUAGUCAAGAAAAUGCCCCAUCACUAGGUCACUCUCCAGAGCAUAAAGCUGAGACUGGCACAGGCCUGUGACUCCAGAACUUGGGAGGUGAGGGCAGGAGAAUCGGGAGUUCAAGGCCAUCCUUGGCUACACAGUGAGUUUGAGUCUGUCUUGGGAAUACAUGAAAACUUACCUCAGAAAAAGAAAGCCCUCACAGGAACACAACAACCUUUAUGGACACUAUUUUAAGCACUCAAGGAAGCUGAUGGCACAGCUGUUACCCCCAGUCCUGUGACUCCUGAGCUUCUAAUAAAGGAUAGCCAAUGCCCUCUGACCUUUCUCCCUAUACCUGUCCCAGGGCCCACAUUCGAGUCACCCUAAAACAGUCCACUAGGUCUACUCUUGUGUUUUCUGCCAUUCUUCCCUCCAUGCGAGAGUGAUUUAAGGUCACCCAGAACUGCAGAUUCCCAGCUCCAACUUCCUUCUGCAAUGCUGUGUGUUGCCUGCAUUACCCAAGCCCUUCACUCAGCUUUCCCUGAGUUAGAGCUCUACAGCUACCAUCUCCCCAAUCUCUACAGGAACGCGGAUGCCGGCAUCUCAAAUGCUUCCAGCUCCCAGCUAAGAGAACACUGAUUCCCCAAAGUGCCGAUACAUUUUCUCUGUGCUGUCCUACAACAGAACAAACUAUUACAUUGCCAUUGUGUCAAUCCCCGAGCUCCAGCAAGCCCCUCGGGGAAAGUCCAGAUCAUCGAAGAACUUACUUGGUGGACUGGAGAGAGGGCUCAGAAGUUAAGAGCACCUGCUGCUCUUCCAGAGACUCAACACCCGCAUCAGCUGGCCCGUCUUCAUGCAGCUUCAGCUCUGCAGGGUCAGAGCUUCUGACCUCUGAGGAGACCCGCAUUCUUGUACACGCGUACACGUAUGCAAACACAUACUCAUACACACCCAUGUAUGCACAUGUAACAUUUUAAAAUUAAAAAAUAAAUGUAAAAA